AUGAUCAAAAAGGACUUUCAUACGGUUGUAAUGAGGGCUCUUUGGUGAGGUGGGGUGUUUUUAGGCAAAUGACUCAUAUCCCACAAUCUAACAAUCACAAUGAACAAGUCAAAUUCACCAUUUCUCUUAUCAAUCAAAAACCAAGAUCCCCACAUUUCUUCUUUUCACCCUUAGUGAUACUUAUCAUGAUUAUGAUUCAAAAGGUAAAUCACUCCCCUUUAUGCUCUUUAUUCAAUUUUUAUUUUCCUUCUUUUUUUUUCUUUUCUUUUGGAGCUCAUAGGGGACUAGUGAUUUUCACUCAAUCAAAGUUAGACAACUAAUUUCAAUCAUUUUCCAUACAUUUUCAUCAAAGUAACCACUAACAAUCUAAGUUCUACCCAUCCUUGGUUAAUUCAAAGAAAGGCUAUAAGGCACAAAAAUGGGUAAACUAGGAUCAUAUGAGAAUUUGGACAAGAUUUGGGUUACGUGGUUAGCAAAGAUGGCCUUCAAUCAUCUCAACAUCCAUAACACAUCUACUUUCAUUUUUUUAGAGAGGACUUAUGGCAAGUUCUAGAGAUUAACGAGCAUGUUCAAUUGAUUUACACUCAAGAAUGAAAUGAGAUUGUGAUAAUAUGACAAUCAAUGGCUCAAAUCUUACAAGCUCAUUAUCAAGUUCUUGGAGGCAAAACAUUUAACUCACUUGUCACAAGUUCAAACUUUUCAUGCAUAAUCCACAAGUGAUACACACAAUUU
rnacentral:lncRNA from 1 species